GCGCCCGUAGCUCAGCUGGAUAGAGCGUCGGACUUCGAAUCCGCAGGUCGUGCGUUCGAAUCGCACCGGGCGUGCCA
rnacentral:tRNA from 5 species